CCGCCCGCGACACUGCGAGAAGUCCAUUGAACCUUAUCAUUUAGAGGAAGGAGAAGUCGUAACAAGGUUUCCGUAGGUGAACCUGCGGAAGGAUCAUUG
rnacentral:rRNA from 1 species